GGAGUUGUGACCGAGUGGUUUAAGGUACCGGUUUGCUAAACCGGCGAAUUUCAAUUGAGAUUCCAUUGGUUCGAAUCCAAUCAGCUCCG
rnacentral:tRNA from 1 species